rnacentral:rRNA from 1 species
UUGGUUAAGUUAGAAAGGGCGCACGGUGGAUGCCUUGGCACUAGGAGCCGAAGAAGGACGGGACUAACACCGAUAUGCUUUGGGGAGCUGUACGUAAGCGUUGAUCCAGAGAUUUCCGAAUGGGGGAACCCACUAUCUUUAGUCGGAUAGUAUCCUUACGUGAAUACAUAGCGUAAGGAAGGCAGACCCAGGGAACUGAAACAUCUAAGUACCUGGAGGAAGAGAAAGAAAAAUCGAUUUCCUGAGUAGCGGCGAGCGAAACGGAAAGAGCCCAAACCAAGAAGCUUGCUUCUUGGGGUUGUAGGACACUCUAUACGGAGUUACAAAAGAAAGUUAUAAAUGAAGCGGUCUGGAAAGGCCCGCCAAAGACGGUAACAGCCCGGUAGUUGAAAUGGCUUUCCCUCCAGAGUGGAUCCUGAGUACGGCGGAACACGUGAAAUUCCGUCGGAAUCCGGGAGGACCAUCUCCCAAGGCUAAAUACUCCCUAGUGACCGAUAGUGAACCAGUACCGUGAGGGAAAGGUGAAAAGCACCCCGGAAGGGGAGUGAAACAGUUCCUGAAACCGUGUGCCUACAAGUAGUUAGAGCCCGUUAAUGGGUGAUAGCGUGCCUUUUGUAGAAUGAACCGGCGAGUUACGAUUUGUUGCAAGGUUAAGCGGAAAAAGCGGAGCCGUAGCGAAAGCGAGUCUGAAUAGGGCGCAUAAGUAACAGGUCGUAGACCCGAAACCAGGUGAUCUACCCAUGUCCAGGAUGAAGGUAAGGUAAUACUUACUGGAGGUCCGAACCCACGCACGUUGAAAAGUGCGGGGAUGAGGUGUGGGUAGCGGAGAAAUUCCAAUCGAACUUGGAGAUAGCUGGUUCUCUCCGAAAUAGCUUUAGGGCUAGCCUCGAGGUAAAGAGUCAUGGAGGUAGAGCACUGUUUGGACUAGGGGCCCUUCUCGGGUUACCGAAUUCAGAUAAACUCCGAAUGCCAUGUACUUAUACUCGGGAGUCAGACUGCGAGUGAUAAGAUCCGUAGUCGAAAGGGAAACAGCCCAGACCACCAGUUAAGGUCCCCAAAUAUAUGUUAAGUGGAAAAGGAUGUGGGGUUGCUUAGACAACCAGG